rnacentral:rRNA from 1 species
GACGUAGGGCGCGAGCGUUUGUCCGGAUUUAUUGGGCGUAAAGGGCUCGUAGGCGGCCAACUAAGUCAGACGUGAAAUCCCUCGGCUUAACCGGGGAACUGCGUCUGAUACUGGAUGGCUUGAGUUCGGGAGAGGGAUGCGGAAUUCCAGGUGUAGCGGUGAAAUGCGUAGAUAUCUGGAGGAACACCGGUGGCGAAGGCGGCAUCCUGGACCAAUAUUGACGCUGAGGAGCGAAAGCCAGGGGAGCAAACGGGG